UACGUAGGGGGCAAGCGUUGUCCGGAUUCAUUGGGCGUAAAGAGCGUGUAGGCGGCCAGGUAGGUCGGUUGUGAAAACUGGAGGCUCAACCUUCAGACGUCGACCGAAACCAUCUGGCUAGAGUCCGGGAGAGGAGAGUGGAAUUCCUGGUGUAGCAGUGAAAUGCGUAGAUAUCAAGUGGAACACCAGUGGCGAAGGCGAAUCCCUGGACAACUUCUGACGCUGAGGCACGAAAGCUAGGGGAGCAAACAGG
rnacentral:rRNA from 1 species